rnacentral:rRNA from 1 species
ACGCUGGCGGCGUGCCUAAUACAUGCAAGUCGAGCGAGCUUGCCUAGAUGAAUUUGGUGCUUGCACCAAAUGAAACUAGAUACAAGCGAGCGGCGGACGGGUGAGUAACACGUGGGUAACCUGCCCAAGAGACUGGGAUAACACCUGGAAACAGAUGCUAAUACCGGAUAACAACACUAGACGCAUGUCUAGAGUUUAAAAGAUGGUUCUGCUAUCACUCUUGGAUGGACCUGCGGUGCACUAGCUAGUUGGUAAGGUAACGGCUUACCAAGGCAAUGAUGCAUAGCCGAGUUGAGAGACUGAUCGGCCACAUUGGGACUGAGACACGGCCCAAACUCCUACGGGAGGCAGCAGUAGGGAAUCUUCCACAAUGGACGCAAGUCUGAUGGAGCAACGCCGCGUGAGUGAAGAAGGGUUUCGGCUCGUAAAGCUCUGUUGGUAGUGAAGAAAGAUAGAGGUAGUAACUGGCCUUUAUUUGACGGUAAUUACUUAGAAAGUCACGGCUAACUACGUGCCAGCAGCCGCGGUAAUACGUAGGUGGCAAGCGUUGUCCGGAUUUAUUGGGCGUAAAGCGAGUGCAGGCGGUUCAAUAAGUCUGAUGUGAAAGCCUUCGGCUCAACCGGAGAAUUGCAUCAGAAACUGUUGAACUUGAGUGCAGAAGAGGAGAGUGGAACUCCAUGUGUAGCGGUGGAAUGCGUAGAUAUAUGGAAGAACACCAGUGGCGAAGGCGGCUCUCUGGUCUGCAACUGACGCUGAGGCUCGAAAGCAUGGGUAGCGAACAGGAUUAGAUACCCUGGUAGUCCAUGCCGUAAACGAUGAGUGCUAAGUGUUGGGAGGUUUCCGCCUCUCAGUGCUGCAGCUAACGCAUUAAGCACUCCGCCUGGGGAGUACGACCGCAAGGUUGAAACUCAAAGGAAUUU